rnacentral:rRNA from 1 species
GACGAACGCUGGCGGCGUGCUUAACACAUGCGAGUCGAACGGCAAGGCCCUGCUUUUGUGGGGUGCUCGAGUGGCGAACGGGUGAGUAACACGUGAGUAACCUGCCCUUGACUUUGGGAUAACUUCAGGAAACUGGGGCUAAUAUCGGAUAGGAUCUCCUGCUGCGUUGUGGGCGUUGGAACGUUUCGGCGGUUGGGGAUGGACUCGCGGCUUAUCAGCUUGUUGGUGGGGUAGUGGCUUACCAAGGAUUUGACGGGUAGCCGGCCUGAGAGGGUGACCGGCCACAUUGGGACUGAGAUACGGCCCAGACGCCUACGGGAGGCAGCAGUGGGGAAUAUUGCACAAUGGGCGGAAGCCUGAUGCAGCAACGCCGCGUGCGGGAUGACGGCCUUCGGGUUGUAAACCGCUUUCGCCUGUGACGAAGCGUGAGUGACGGUAAUGGGUAAAGAAGCACCGGCUAACUACGUG